AAGGUGAUGAUGCAUUGAGAACCCACCAAAUAAAUCUAUGGUGGGAUCUUCUUCCCACAUCCGUGUCCAUAUAUACAAUAUAUUGUCUUUCAAUUGUUAUUCAAAUGUUCAAUUAAUAAUUUUUCUAUGGCUGUCAUGAUUUCUUUCCCAACCUUUUUAGAUCUUUAGCAAUGUGUUAUGUGGUUGUCAAUGUUUAGCAAUGUGUUUCAUUGUGUGAAAAUUUUGUAGUUUGCAGAGCUUGACCUUCUAUAUCUUUCAAAUCAACAAAUUGAUAGGUAGAGUUGCUAGGAUUUUCUUUCUAGUGUGAGAAGUGCCUUAGUUCUAGAUACCAGGAGAUUUUUCCAGGCAAGGUCAUAUGUGAAACCAAGUUUAAAAUCCUACAAUGGUUUCAUUAUCUGCUAAAAUGAGGGCAAAGAAAAUGAUUAUUGCUUUGCCCCUUUUGUCAUGAAUUAGAGGUAGAAGCUGAUUUCUCUAAUCUUGUUCUCAACUGUCUUCCAAGUUUGUUUUCUGCUACUUCUUCCAUUUUGUGUGACUCUUUUAUUUGUAUAUACAGUCUGAAUUUAAUUUAAGUCUUUGGUUCUUGUUACCUGUGAAGGCUUUACAACUGAUGGCCUCACUGCUAUUGCUGCCAAUUGUAGGUAAGAUCAGUUUUCAUUCCUUGUUUGUUGUUAUUUUGAUAGUUUAUGGAAUGUGAUUUGCACUUAUGGUUUUCUUAUUCUUGGUUUAAUUCUUCAGUUCAGUUUCUACUGUGUGGUGAUAAACAUGUUUGCAGCUUACGUACCAAUCCCUGUGAUCCUAUUCCUUUUUUUUGCAUUCACCUUUUGAGGAUCUUUCAGUUGUACUGUCAAUUACAUCUGAUUUCAAAUCAUAGAGGCCAUUGGUUUAGUUGCUUUCCCGAUAGCUGUACCUCUCUUGUGUCCUUGAAUUUUGCAGCCAUUUCAGUUACUCAUUAAGUUCUUACCAAUGGGUUGUGGUUUGAUAUGGCAAGAGAUCUCAAUUGCAGCAAAUGUAGCCCAAAAGGAAAUUGAUAAGUACAUCAAGAUACCUGGAGAACCCUUCAGCUAAGUCGACCUAUCAACAACAAUUCCAUAUCGGUCCAAAUGCUGAGGUUUUGCAGUCUCCUCCAGCUAAAUACAUCUACUUAGGACAAAUGGGAAACUUAAUUUGGUUCACACAGCACAAAUCUCUUCUUAGCAAAGAAGGGGAGAGCUUGUUCCCCAAUAUAUUAUUCUUGGACAAGAGUAUUGGCUGCCCAUUCUUACUGGUGCCAACACCAGGCUAAGCAACAUGGCAAGCACCAGGCUUGUCCCAAGGAUCACAUACAGUAGCUCAACUUGUAGACAUGGAGUUCCAAUGUACUCGGCAUUGUAUAAUGUAGAAAAGAGCAAAAGUUGAUAGAUAUAGAGAAAGAAGGCAAAUGUACAAAUGACCCUCCUAAAUUAGUGUAUGAAUAUUUGGGAAAUAAUUAUGUUUGAUAUCAAUUUACUGAAUUCAUUUAAUA